rnacentral:rRNA from 1 species
UGCAGUCGAGCGAAGUCUUCGGACUUAGCGGCGAACGGGUGAGUAACGCGUGGGAACGUGCCCUUCAGUACGGAAUAGCCUAGGGAAACUUGGAUUAAUGCCGUAUACGCCCUACGGGGGAAAGAUUUAUCGCUGAAGGAUCGGCCCGCGUCUGAUUAGGUAGUUGGCGGGGUAAAGGCCCACCAAGCCGACGAUCAGUAGCUGGUUUGAGAGGAUGAUCAGCCACACUGGGACUGAGACACGGCCCAGACUUCUACGGAAGGCAGCAGUGGGGAAUCUUGGACAAUGGGGGCAACCCUGAUCCAGCCAUGCCGCGUGAAUGAAGAAGGCCUUAGGGUUGUAAAGCUCUUUCAACGGUGAAGAUAAUGACGGUAGCCGUAGAAGAAGCCCCGGCUAACUCCGUGCCAGCAGCCGCGGUAAUACGGAGGGGGCUAGCGUUGUUCGGAAUUACUGGGCGUAAAGCGCGCGUAGGCGGACUGGCAAGUCAGGGGUGAAAUCCCGGGGCUCAACUCCGGAACUGCCUUUGAUACUGCCAUGUCUAGAGUUCUGGAGAGGUGAGCGGAAUUCCGAGUGUAGAGGUGAAAUUCGUAGAUAUUCGGAGGAACACCAGUGGCGAAGGCGGCUCACUGGCCAGACACUGACGCUGAGGCGCGAAAGCGUGGGUAGCAAACAGGAUUAGAUACCCUGGUAGUCCACGCCGUAUACGAUGAAUGCCAGACGUCGGGCAGCUUGCUGUUCGGUGUCACACCUAACGGAUUAAGCAUUCCGCCUGGG